rnacentral:lncRNA from 1 species
GUCCUCUUUAUCGGGUAAUUUUCUGUUGGAGACAACAACAUUAUUUAACACUGCAUGUCUUUAUGCAUGAUCUCCUCUAUCACACACUAUUGCCAUCAUUCUGUUUAUUAAGGCAGAACUUCUGAAUAAUGAUCUGUUGACCUUCCAGGAAACUUAUCUAUUCCACUAAAACAUACAUGUGAUGCUUACAUCUAGAUGAUCCUAGUUGCUUGACUAUCUAUAUAUUUGUGAGAUAUUUAUCAUUGACUAUAACCCCUUUUCUCUUACUUGUUCUCUGCUUUGUAUUACAGGGGCUGGAAGACUGCAGACUACAUUUUCAAAUCCAUUGCCAACUGGUCUACUAUAGGAUUUCUUAAGAAAGUUCCUAGGAUGAUAUGUAAAUCUACUCUUAUUCUUUCUUUGAGCCUAGCUGUUCACACCAAGGAGUUAAAUCUUUAAGGUAAAUACCUAUUUCCUAAAGUAAGUGGUCACAGAUUAGUAUAGAAAAAAAAAAAAAAAUGAAGUUCUG